rnacentral:sRNA from 1 species
AUGAAAGACCGAAAGGAGUACAUGACAACAGAUGGCGGGAAUGUAAGCAUUUUUCAUGAAGAUGGGAGGAAAAAGGCAACAUUUACUCCAGAGGAAACUAUGGACACCAUCAUCUAUUGUUCACAUUCCAAUCAAUUUGUUGGAUACACAAAAGGGGAUGACGAACUUUUUCUGAUGAACACAGAGUUUGAAAUUAUUUCUCAAGCAAGAAACCCUUGCAAAAUAAACUUGGCAAAGUACAACCACAACACCAUGGAGUUUAUAACAUUUGGUCCAGGUUAUUUUGUGUGCUGGGCAUUCCGAUAUGGGGCAAGGCAUCUGAUACCCAGAAAGAUGAACAAAAUCAUAUUCACAGCUGACAAUGCCUUCUCCCAUCUUGUUUUGGAGGAAACAGCGAGUCGUCAGCAGCGCUGUUAUCUAUCACAUGGCAAAGAUGUCGCAGUUUACAAUGUUUUUAUGGGAAAUCAGCUGACUAUGAAGAAAGACCUUCAUGAACGCAUAAUUACAGGAUUGACAUUUUUCAAUCCUUUGAAAUACUUGAUCACUGGUGCUAAGGAUGGAUCCAUCAAAGUUUGGGACAAUGACUGGUAUCUUAAAAUGGUGUUUGUUGGACACACAAGAGCCAUUUCAGUGUUGUCUGUGUACCCAGACGGUCCUGCCAUUGUCUCUGCCAGCCAUGAUUCUACUGUCAGGGUCUGGAACUUGGAUUCUUGUGAUGAGGUGGACAGAGCCAAACUAGAUGCCCCAGCUGUUGGAAUGGCCACUGAGUUGAACUAUUUUGUGUUUUUCACAUACUCUGGGAAGACCGUGGACCUCUGGAGAAUUCAGCACCUGUUCAGUAUACACACUUCGAUUGGACAAAGAGUGGUCGCAAUCAAACAGACGAGUCACCCCAACCACCAAAUCCGCUCCCUGGUGGUCAGUCGUGACAGCAGUGUGCGUCUGAUCACUCCUCCCAAUGGGGAGGUUCUAUCAACCCUUCUUCUCGAUCCGGCCAAAGGAAUCGUGGACGCAGCAUAUGCCAUCAACGAGGAGAAGUUGUUUGUGGUUUUAAACAAUGGAGAUAUUUUGAAGUGCUCAACAAAGACUAAUCCAAUGUCAAUUGAAAAAACUUGGAAAAUUCAAAACCCAAGGGAGGCUUGUAACUAUCUUCUGGUGUAUGAAUAUGUCCCUGACUUCAAAUCUGAUGCCUGGGCUGCAUUCAAACGAGGGCUAGCUACCAACACGAUAGGAAGUGGUGGCUCGCAGACCAGCAGAGCAAAGACCAUUCUCUUGGGAGGAAGAAAAGAUGGCCAUAUCUGUGUCUUUGAUUGGGAAGAUGGGAGAGUCAUUUUCAGCAUUGAUGCUCAUGGAGUAAAGGGAGUGCUCAGUAUGAAAGCAAACUCCAAACAAGAUCAACUCAUCUCUGCUGGCAAAGAUAACAUCAUCAAAGUAUGGCGGUUGUACCCUUUUGCUGAGGAGGCUCUGGCCCCGCUGAUGUCGUUUUAUUGUGCACACACACCAGUCCACAUGACUAUGCUGAAGACCAAUCUAUGCGUAGCAUUCCAGGACCAUGCUACUGCAACUUAUAACAUCGUAAUCUAUAAUCUCAAAGACAGAAUGUUUGGGGGAGAAAUGAACAGCAAACAAAGUUUAGAAAUUCACUCUAAUCGCUAUGACCACCAGCCAGAUGAUGACCACACAGAUACUAUCACUGGCUUAACAAGCUGCCAGAGGAUGAAGUUGUACGCCUCCUCAAGUCUUGAUGGAACGAUCCGAAUCUGGGAUGAAACUAAUAAUUUAAUCAGACUGCUGAAAUUGAAGACAAUGCCUUAUAGUGUGGGAUUCUGCAGUGAGAGAGGGGAUUUACUAGUCGGGAUCAGUCACCAUUUGUAUAAAAUCCCAUAUACAGCCUAUCUACCUAAAGCCUACAUUUUCAAGAUGGUAUCCAUGAGAUUUGCAGACCCCAAACCGGAGACUCCUUUCCCUGUAGAUGAGAACCAGAUUAAAAAACUCUCCAAAAGGGAAUACACCCGCCUCAAAAAAUCUCAUUCCUCCUUCAAAUACAACCAUUUUGAGGACAUUUUAACAAAAGAGGAGGAAGAAGAGGUACAUAGGGAGCAGAAGAUAAAAGAGGAAGCCUUCUCCAAACUAAGGGCAAGAGAAGAGGAGCUGGUACAGAUCAAGGAGAGUCAGAUCAAAGCAAAGAGGACUGAAGAGAUGGAGAGAAAGAAGAAGAAAAAGAAGGAAGUCAAAAUUAAUAGCGAAGCUUUUAUCAACUACUUCAAGAUGUAUUACGACAAGGAUCGGCCACAGCUUCCUCCUGAAAACCCCUAUGCUUUGGAAGAUUUCUUGAGUCGAGGUGAAGUGGAUGAGGAGGAGAAUCCUUUCAAGCCUGAGCGAGAACCCACUGGUUUCUUCCCUCCAAUAAACAAGGCCUCCAGACCUGCCACCGCUGCAGAGGAACCACUCAUGCCUGCCUACCAGAGCGCCACCACUAGCGGCUUUGUGCCCAACUCUGUCCUUGUCAAAAUUCUUUGGCCUCCUCCCCCUCCACAACCAGAGAAGUCGCAAGAAUCCUGGCGGCCACCAUCUCUGUCUGAUGGUCAGCUGGAAGAAAUUGAAAAAGAAAAGCGUAAAUGGUCCAAAAAUGUAGGUAACCAGGAACCAAGUGAAGGCGAAAAAGAGAUCACAGUAGAUGACCUAGUUCCGGAGGAUGACCAGGAUCGUACCCUUAUAAUCGAUGAUUGGGAGGAUGAAAAGUCCGCCCCACAGAGUCCCAUACCAUCCAGUGGGACAAGAACACCAGUCUACACCCCACCCAGGAAAGAGGUUACAUUCAGUCGACAGCCCACGGUCCAUGUCCUGGAGACCCCGCCCAAAACCCCCUCCCCUCCAGCAUCCACCAGACAGAGCUCGCUAAUGUCACGGUUCAACGAUAUGAUGACAAAGAACGAGGAAGAAAAGGAUGAUGAUGAAUCAACAGUUACCAUGACACCUCGGUCACCUAUUGAGAAGGAGCCACCAGUGACCCCGAAAUCCUCUCUAUCAGACAAACCCCCCAGUGAACCCAAACCACUCUCACUACCCCCUCCAAAGAGGGAGGUUAAGCCCCUCAAACCUCUGGUCAAGGUAUACGAAACCCUCUGCCCCUGUGGAUCCCCUUCCCCCAAAAACCUCGACCCGUGGCCCCACAGCGAGAGCCAACACCACCACGCCCGGAAACACCACUUCCUGGAUUUGUCACUCAGUUCAAGGAGCAGACGUGGUUCGAGAAGUUCUUUCCAAGAUGCUAGCGAAGCA